CUCUUGUAAGACUUAAAAAUAAGAGGUCCCGCCUGCCCUGUGACCAUAAGUUUAACGGCCGCGGUAUUCUGACCGUGCGAAGGUAGCGCAAUCACUUGUCUUUUAAAUGGAGACCUGUAUGAAUGGCAUAACGAGGGCUUAACUGUCUCCUCUUUCAAGUCAAUGAAAUUGAUCUCCCCGUGCAGAAGCGGGGAUACUAACAU
rnacentral:rRNA from 1 species